rnacentral:rRNA from 1 species
UACGUAGGGUGCGAGCGUUAAUCGGAAUUACUGGGCGUAAAGCGUGCGCAGGCGGUUCGUUGUGUCCGAUGUGAAAGCCCCGGGCUUAACCUGGGAAUGGCAUUGGAAACUGGCGGGCUUGAGUGCAGCAGAGGGGGGUGGAAUUCCGCGUGUAGCAGUGAAAUGCGUAGAGAUGCGGAGGAACACCGAUGGCGAAGGCAGCCCCCUGGGUCGACACUGACGCUCAGGCACGAAAGCGUGGGGAGCAAACAGG